rnacentral:rRNA from 1 species
CCCUUAGCUAUUUGGGGGGUAAUGGUUCCCCAAGGCGACGAUGCGUAGCCCCCUUGAAGGGGUAUUGGCCCACUGGGACUGAGACCCGGCCCCAGAUUCCUACGGGAGGCAGCAGUAGGGAAUCUUCCGCAAUGGACGAAAGUCUGACGGAGCAACGCCGCCUGAGUGAUGAAGGUUUUCGGAUCGUAAAGCUCUGUUGUUAGGGAAGAACAAGUGCGAGAGUAACUGCUCGCACCUUGACGGUACCUAACCAGAAAGCCACGGCUAACUACGUGCCAGCAGCCGCGGUAAUACGUAGGUGGCAAGCGUUGUCCGGAAUUAUUGGGCGUAAAGGGCUCGCAGGCGGUUUCUUAAGUCUGAUGUGAAAGCACCCGGCUCAACCGGGGAGGGUCAUUGGAAACUGGGAAACUUGAGUGCAGAAGAGGAGAGUGGAAUUCCACGUGUAGCGGUGAAAUGCGUAGAGAUGUGGAGGAACACCAGUGGCGAAGGCGACUCUCUGGUCUGUAACUGACGCUGAGGAGCGAAAGCGUGGGGAGCGAACAGGAUUAGAUACCCUGGUAGUCCACGCCGUAAACGAUGAGUGCUAAGUGUUAGGGGGUUUCCGCCCCUUAGUGCUGCAGCUAACGCAUUAAGCACUCCGCCUGGGGAGUACGGUCGCAAGACUGAAACUCAAAGGAAUUGACGGGGGCCCGCACAAGCGGUGGAGCAUGUGGUUUAAUUCGAAGCAACGCGAAGAACCUUACCAGGUCUUGACAUCCUCUGACAACCCUAGAGAUAGGGCUUUCCCUUCGGGGACAGAGUGACAGGUGGUGCAUGGUUGUCGUCAGCUCGUGUCGUGAGAUGUUGGGUUAAGUCCCGCAACGAGCGCAACCCUUGAUCUUAGUUGCCAGCAUUUAGUUGGGCACUCUAAGGUGACUGCCGGUGACAAACCGGAGGAAGGUGGGGAUGACGUCAAAUCAUCAUGCCCCUUAUGACCUGGGCUACACACGUGCUACAAUGGACAGAACAAAGGGCUGCGAGACCGCAAGGUUUAGCCAAUCCCAUAAAUCUGUUCUCAGUUCGGAUCGCAGUCUGCAACUCGACUGCGUGAAGCUGGAAUCGCUAGUAAUCGCGGAUCAGCAUGCCGCGGUGAAUACGUUCCCGGGCCUUGUACACACCGCCCGUCACACCACGAGAGUUUGCAACACCCGAAGUCGGUGAGGUAACCUUUACGGAGUCCAGGCCACGCUCGCAAGGGGGCCAUCAGCUGG